rnacentral:rRNA from 1 species
CAGUAGCCGCGGUAAUACGAAGGGUGCAAGCGUUAAUCGGAAUUACUGGGCGUAAAGCGUGCGUAGGCGGUGAGUUAAGUCUGCUGUGAAAUCCCCGGGCUCAACCUGGGAAUGGCAGUGGAUACUGGCUCGCUAGAGUGUGUCAGAGGAUGGUGGAAUUCCCGGUGUAGCGGUGAAAUGCGUAGAGAUCGGGAGGAACAUCAGUGGCGAAGGCGGCCACCUGGGACAAUACUGACGCUCAUGCACGAAAGCGUGGGGAGCAAACAGGAUUAGAUACCCCCGUAGUCCCUGUCUCUUAUAC